GGCCAAACUACAUCAGUACAGAUCCCACACUUUGCCUCACAAAAGGGAGCAUUGCCAUCUCCAGACAUGAAGAUGAUCUGCCAUAGUCACUGCUGUCCACAAUAUGAAAGGCUCUGAAUAAAAAAUGGCUUUGAUGCAUUUAGAAUUGUACCAGAGCAAAAUUUAUAAAUACACAUUGAAACUGAAAGGGAGACAUCAGAAGGACCUACACCGGUCCAUGUCUCCACACCUCCCAACUUCUAGC
rnacentral:lncRNA from 1 species